UACGUAGGGUGCGAGCGUUGUCCGGAAUUACUAGGCGUAAAGAGCUCGUAGGUGGUUUGUCGCGUUGUUCGUGAAAACUCACAGCUUAACUGUGGGCGUGCGGGCGAUACGGGCAGACUGGAGUACUGCAGGGGAGACUGGAAUUCCUGGUGUAGCGGUGAAAUGCGCAGAUAUCAGGAGGAACACCGGUGGCGAAGGCGGGUCUCUGGGCCGAUACUGACGCUGAGGAGCGAAAGCGUGGGGAGCGAACAGG
rnacentral:rRNA from 1 species